AUAUCAAUAAGCGGAGGAAAAGAAACCAACAGGGAUUGCCUUAGUAGCGGCGAGUGAAGCGGCAAGAGCUCAAAUUUGAAAUCUGGUACCUUCGGUGCCCGAGUUGUAAUUUGAAGAAAGCUAUCUUGGAGGUGGCCUUUGUCUAUGUUCCUUGGAACAGGACGUCAUGGAGGGUGAGAAUCCCGUGUGAUGAGGUGUCCAUUUCCGUGUAAGAUGCUUUCGAAGAGUCGAGUUGUUUGGGAAUGCAGCUCAAAGUGGGUGGUAAAUUCCAUCUAAAGCUAAAUAUUGGCGAGAGACCGAUAGCGAACAAGUACUGUGAAGGAAAGAUGAAAAGAACUUUGAAAAGAGAGUGAAAAAGUACGUGAAAUUGUUGAAAGGGAAGGGUAUUUGAUCAGACUUGGUAUUUAGCUAUCAUCGCUCCUUGUGGGUGGUGCUCUAGCUUUUUACUGGGCCAGCAUCAGUUUUGGUGGCAAGAUAAUGACAGUUGAAUGUGGCUCCUCGGAGUGUUAUAGCUUCUGUUGAUGUUGCCUACCGAGACUGAGGUCUGCGGCUUUUGCCUAGGAUGCUGGCGUAAUGAUCCAAUACCGCCCGU
rnacentral:rRNA from 1 species